GCAAGUCGAGGGGUAGAAGCAGCUUGCUGCUUUGAGACCGGCGCACGGGUUCGUAACGCGUAUACAAUCUACCUUUUACAGAGGGAUAGCCCAGAGAAAUUUGGAUUAAUACCUCAUAGUAUUUUCGAAUCGCAUGGUUUGAUUAUUAAAGUGCCAACGGUAAAAGAUGAGUAUGCGUCGGAUUAGCUAGAUGGUAAGGUAACGGCUUACCAAGGCAACGAUGGGUAGGGGUCCUGAGAGGGAGAGC
rnacentral:rRNA from 1 species